rnacentral:lncRNA from 1 species
CUUGAAAAUAAAAAUUAAUUAAUUGGGUAUGAGAACAAAAUAUAAACAUGCAAAAGAGAUUAAUUCAAUUGACGAGAAGAACACGAUGGAUGAAUGGAGUUGUUGGGGGUUUACAAUUUCAUCUUAUCCGCUCUCUCUUAUUUACUUCUCUUGAUUUAUUUACUUGAUUAACUAAUUGUUAUGAAACUUUCUUGGCCUCCCUUAACCCGAUCCCUCGACGAAAAGAGCCUAUUACUAAUUACUAGUUUGUUAUCCCUAGCCUCCCCUAGCAAUUAAUAAUGCAUUAUAGAGCAGAAGUGAAAAACAAUUGUGUUAGCAGAAUUAAAAGAUGAAGUUUUGAUGAUGAACAGAUUUGCACAAGACAAGAUUCACAAAGAAGGAUGGAAGAUCUCCGCAUUUUAUAAAGCUUUGUUAAUAAUAAAAAAUGAUGUAAUAGUGCUCUAAAAUGUAUUAGGGUUGAUUCUUGUGGUUUAUAUGUAAUUUAUUUUUAUUGAGAAUCUUCC